AUCUUCAACUUUCAAUCUUCUUGAAUGUAAAAAUUGAAUCGGUGUUUCGCUCGUUUCUUGCACGAUCAAUUCUCACGUGACCAUUUCGAGCUCGUUCUUUACAUUCUCCCUAACGAACGAUAAAAUAAAAAGAAAGAAAGAAAGAAAAAGAGAGAGAGAGAGAGAGAGAGAGAAUAUGUACAGCGUUUCUCGAGGCAGAUCAUUAUUGGCCGGAAACACGGGCCACGCUGUCGAAGCGCUUCCUCGCCAUCAGUCGGCAAUAUUUUCACCUCUCCCCCAACCGGAUGAGGCAACACCGCUUGCUACUAAACGAACCAUUGCGCUAGUAACGUUUACUACGCGGCUCCGCGCGCUUCCUAUCGAAGAUCCGGACUUCCGUCGUUAAACGAUGUCACUUUCGCUGGUUAGAAAACUGCUUAUCUCUAAAUAUGUACGUACGUAUAUAUUAGAGUUUUUUCACAGUUGAAUGGAGAGAGAAUUGAACGACCAAGUACUUCAAGACAGGAAUUUUUAGCGAAAUUUUGCAUCGUGUAGAAACAAGCAGAGGUUAAAUUUUGGUCGAGGAAGAAGGCGUUAUCGAAGUUUCAUAAGCGAGCGAUUCUG